UACGGGGGGGGUAAGCGUUGUUCGGAAUUACUGGGCGUAAAGGGCUCGUAGGCGGCCAACUAAGUCAGAUGUGAAAUCCCUCAGCUUAACUGGGGAACUGCGUCUGAUACUGGAUGGCUUGGAUUCGGGAGAGGAAUGCGGAAUUCCAGGUGUAGCGGUGAAAUGCGUAGAUAUCUGGAGGAACACCGGUGGCGAAGGCGGCAUUCUGGACCGAUAUUGACGCUGAGGUGCGAAAGCGUGGGGAGCAAACAGG
rnacentral:rRNA from 1 species